CACAAACACAAGGCAGCACAUUUUAUUUGAAAGGCCUAAAUGGCAUUAAGGUACAGCAUAUAAAUACUGGCGAUUCCAGAGACAGUCAUUACAUAAUAACAUUAUAACAUUCCUUCCUUUACAAACAAUACAUUCAUGAUGUUUUCGCCGUGAAAUAUCUCACUUUGCCUUACUUUAACAAACUCAAGAGUAACUUACAAAGCUAAAAUAAUACAAAAAGUCUCUCAGCUGAGUACAAGUUAGUGCUAUCAUAUUAGGGUUUUCCAACUUGACACUGAAACCUGAAGCAGAUUUUCUUUCUGAAUACAUACAGUAGCUAGUUUAGCAUCAUUAGUCGUGUCAUUCAGUACUUUAUGCUCUGUACUAAAUGUGGUAGAUUACAUUCCCUGCAUAUACAAGUUUUUUAUUUUUAUUUAAAUAAAUAAAUAAAUAACAAUACAAACAUUCGCAAGGCAUGAGACCCAGAUAACUACAGGACUCGUAUCCAGUAUGCACAUACUGCACGAGCUCUCGCACCAAACAAGGCUGUGUAUCCCAACAGUGAUUAGACGUAUUUGGGAAAAAAACAAACCCCAAAUCCCGUUCUGACUGCUUUUUAUGAAAUGGUUAUUUAACCAUGAUUGUGUCCAGGAUCUGCUAUAACAAAUCCUGGUGGCAAAGCAAUAUAGUUCUUCUGAUAUGCACAUAAUGGCUACUCCUUUUACAAACAAUCUCUUAAAGGAAUAGUUCUGUCCUUAUUCUCUCCCCCUCCUGUGCUCCAAGGUUGUAUGAUGUUACUCUUCCAGUGAAACACUUACAGGAAUAGUUCACCCCAAAAUUUUAAUUUCCUGAAAAAGCACUCAACCUCAGGCCAUCCGAGAUGAGUUUGUUUCUUUAUCUGAACAGAUUUGGACAAAUUUAGCAUAACUUGCUCACGUAUGGAUACUCUGCAGUGAAUGGGUGCCCAAGAGAUGUGAUGCUAAAUUUAUCCAAAUUUGUUUUGAUGAAGGAAUAAACCCAUCUACAUCUUGGGUGGACUGAAGGUGAGAAAAUGUUCAGCAUGUUAAAAUUUUUGGAUAAUUACUAGGGCUGUCAAAUGAUUAAUCACGAUUAAUCACAUCCAAAAUAAAAGUUUUGUUUACAUAAUAUAUGUAUGUGUACAGGGUAUAUUUAUUAUGUAUAUAUAAAUACACACACAUAAAUUAUAUAUUUAGAAAAUAUUUACAUGUAUAUACAUUUAUAUAUUUAUAUUCUUAUAUUUU
ensembl:lncRNA